GACGAACGCUGGCGGCGUGCUUAACACAUGCAAGUCGAACGGUGAAGCGCCUUCCUUUUUGGUGGGUGUGGAUGAGUGGCGAACGGGUGAGUAACACGUGAGUAACCUGCCCCCUUCUUCUGGAUAACCGCAUGAAAGUGUGGCUAAUACGGGAUAUUCUGGGUCUGUCGCAUGAUGGGUCUGGGAAAGAUAUUGUUUCGGUGGGGGAUGGGCUCGCGGCCUAUCAGCUUGUUGGUGGGGUGAUGGCCUACCAAGGCGGUGACGGGUAGCCGGCCUGAGAGGGUGGACGGUCACACGGGGACUGAGACACGGCCCAGACUCCGACGGGAGGCAGCAGUGGGGAAUAGUGCACAAUGGGCGCAAGCCUGAUGCAGCGACGCCGCGUGAGGGAUGGAGGCCUUCGGGUUGUGAACCUCUUUCGCCAGUGAAGCAGGCCUGCCUCGUUUGUGGGUGGGUUGACGGUAGCUGGAUAAGAAGCGCCGGCUAACUACGUG
rnacentral:rRNA from 1 species